rnacentral:ncRNA from 2 species
UACAGAGGGUGCAAGCGUUAAUCGGAGUUACUGGGCGUAAAGGGCGCGUAGGCGGUUGAAUAAGUGAGAUGUGAAAUCCCUGGGCUUAACCUAGGAACUGCAUCUUAUACUGUUUAACUAGAGUAUUGUAGAGGGUAGUGGAAUUUCCGGUGUAGCGGUGAAAUGCGUAGAGAUCGGAAGGAACACCAGUGGCGAAGGCGGCUACCUGGACAAAUACUGACGCUGAGGCGCGAGAGCGUGGGGAGCAAACAGG